ensembl:lncRNA
CCUGCUUUGAGUCUCACGGAUGCACAUCACAGGAAGCUCCUGAUCUCCCACGAAAGUUGUUUCUAACACCUUCUCCCUCUGCUCCCCUUUGUUCUCCGCAAUGAGCACCUAUGCUCUGCCGCCGCCUCCGCCAUUAGAGAACAAAUGUACCGAGCAACGGCAAUUUCUUUGAGGAGGCAUCGCCUCCUGCUGCUCCAGAUUACAGCUCAUUAGUAGCGGCGUCGGAGAGACACAGCCCACACCGCGGCUCCCCCCCGAUCCCCUCGUCGCUUCCUGCAAUCCCGGUGUGGCGGGACACCGUGACAAAAGCGGCGGAGGUGGUGGUUGUGACGGUGGGGUGUUUUGGACGGGGGGCAAAGACAAGCAGCGAGGGGACUCACAGUUCACCGUUUGCCAGCUGCUGGUGGAGAUGCGAAGAAGCGCUUCGGGGGACUGGAAUGGCGUUGAAGUGAAAGGAAUGCCAGGUUGUUGUCCAAGAGGACGGCGUGUCGCGUUGCUGGCUUGAUCGAGGACCACACGGCGCUGCUGCUGGUUGCCAGAUUUUGGAUUAUCCCGCCUAACAAUGGGCCAAAAGGACCGUUUGGACCGUCUCUCCCUCCGAGCUGCCAGGGGCCGCUCUGCCCCCCCGGCCCCCCAAAGGCUCUCCUCCCCAUUGCACGCACAUGGACGCACGGCCUCUCUGGGACCAGGCUCCCCCCCCCCUCACAUUGAGACUGUUAUUUAACGUGUCCUUGUGUUUAUGGCCAUCCAGUGGCCCACAAGAGAGCCGGUGAGGUAUAUUCUCGUGCACGCACACACAUUUUUUUACACUUAACAAGCGCACGGCGGCCGGAGAAUAUUGUCGAUUUCUUUCAACUUGGCGAUUAAGAACGUGUACACAUGUGUGCGUUUGUGACGCUCUUUUUCCCCACAGUGACUUUUAUUAAGUUGGCUGUCCGCUGUGCGUCUGCAGAACCUGUCUUUGUGUUUGACAUCUGCUGGGAGCAACGCUGGAAUACGUGACCUCCAGGCGCGCAGACAGAACGUAACCAUGGUGGAGACCAGGAUCAGAUCACACUCCGGCUGUCAGAGUCACGACCCCAACUGGAUCAGAGUGAAACCCGUGAAAUAGAACCGGCGCUUUCAGCGUCAGAACCCCAAACCAAAUCUGUCACUCAAACGGCAAACGGAGACCCAGGAAAGGCAGGAGGAGCAAAUGGGAAAGAGAGGAAUUCCUAGAUAGAAAAAUAAGAUAUGCGACCUGGAUCGAUGUCCAGAAGAGGGCCAUUAUACAGACCAGCAGAGAAGACAUCUUCUUGGUGCUGAAGCUUUAAAGGAGAAAAUAGUGGGGAAGCAGCCAAAAAGCCACACAGGCGACUGGAGAUGUAAGACAAGCAGCGGAUGCUGGACGAAAUGGGAAUGAGGAAUAAACCGAUAAAGAAAAACAAAAGGAUCCAGAUACUUUGAUUGUGGCUUCGGGAUGAUUAGUAUGCAAUGUAAUGUCAUGAUAUAGUGUGUCAUAAAAAAACUCAUAAAAAGUCAUAGUAAAGCAUGCAAUAAUAUUUUUGUGAAAAUCUCAUAAAAUAGCAGCUCAUGAAACAUGUCAUAAUAUAUGAUAAAUCUUUGAAAUAAUGCCAUAGCAAUAUCUUCGAAAUGUAAUGAAUAUCAUCAUGAAAAAGUCAUAGAAAUCAUAGCAUGGUUUGUCAUACUUUUAUCUUGUAUGUAUCUGGACUUUUAUCCAAUUUUCAACCUCAUAUAUUUAGGCUUUUUCUUCUAUUACAUUUUUCGACCUAAUAUAUUUUGACUUCAUCUUCCAUAAAAAUGUUUGACCUGAUGUAUUUAAAAUUUCCUUUCCAUAAGAUUGUUUGACCUAAUAUAUUUUUUUACAUAAAUUAUUUAUGCUUUUUCCAUGGCCUUUUUUGACCUAAUGUUUUUUUUAUUUUUUUUCCCAUGAUAUUUUUCAAUCUAAUGUACCAUGACUUUUUUUCUGCACACUUUUUGACCUAAG